AUGCACAAAUCGAAGAAACCAUCAAUACUGCUAAAAUUGGACAUUGCCAAGGCCUUUGAUUCACUCUCAUGGCCUUACUUGAUGGAGAUGAUGGAGGCAAGAGGCUUUGGCACGCGUUGGCGGGAAUGGAUUGCCAUGUUACUCAGGACCGCAACCUCGCGAGUGAUCAUUAAUGGGCAACACUCGGAGGCAAUUCAACACCGGCAAGGGCUUAGACAAGGGGAUCUGAUAUCUCCUUUCCUUUUCAUUCUCGCCAUGGACCCGUUGCAAAGAAUGAUGAACCUGGCCACUACUAGCGGCGUCCUCUCAAAGCUUCCUGGGCGGACACCGCUAAUGCGAUGCUCGUUCUAUGCCGAUGAUGUGGCCUUGUUCAUGAACCCAAAGAAGAGCGAUGCCACAAUGAUUAAGCUGAUACUUUCAUGCUUUGCUCAAGCCUCAGGCCUUCACGUCAAUGCAACCAAGAGCUCGACCCUUGCCAUCCGAUGCGGCUCACUCAACCUCGACGACAUCCUGGCACCUCUCGGCAUCCCUUGCAAGAAUUUCCCAAUCACUUAUCUUUGGAUGCCUCUAUCCCUCAAAAACCACACCAAGGUUGAUCUUGACCCUCUGCUGGUCAAAUUUGGCAGCAAGACCGCCACAUGGAAGGGUGGUCUAAUGGCGAAAAGCAGUCACCUUGUGCUUCUUAAGUCGGGCCUCACUGCGUUGGCAAUCUACAUGAUGACGGUGCACAAACUCCGGUUUGGGCAUUGA
rnacentral:rRNA from 1 species